UGCGUAGGGGGCAAGCGUUGUCCGGAUUUAUUGGGCGUAAAGAGCGUGUAGGCGGCCAGACAGGUCCGUUGUGAAAACUGGAGGCUUAACCUCUAGACGUCGAUGGAAACCGUCUGGCUAGAGUCCGGAAGAGGAGAAUGGAAUUCCUGGUGUAGCGGUGAAGUGCGCAGAUAUCAGGAAGAACACCCGUGGCUAAGGCGGUUCUCUAGUACGGUACUGACGCUGAGACGCGAAAGCGUGGGGAGCGAACAGG
rnacentral:rRNA from 1 species